GAUGAACGCUGGCGGCGUGCCUAAUACAUGCAAGUCGAGCGAACGGACGAGAAGCUUGCUUUUCUGAUGUUAGCGGCGGACGGGCGAGUAACACGUGGAUAACCUACCUAUAAGACUGGGAUAACUUCGGGAAACCGGAGCUAAUACCGGAUAAUAUUUUGAACCGCAUGGUUCAAAAGUGAAAGACGGUCUUGCUGUCACUUAUAGAUGGAUCCGCGCUGCAUUAGCUAGUUGGUAAGGUAACGGCUUACCAAGGCAACGAUGCAUAGCCGACCUGAGAGGGUGAUCGGCCACACUGGAACUGAGACACGGUCCAGACUCCUACGGGAGGCAGCAGUAGGGAAUCUUCCGCAAUGGGCGAAAGCCUGACGGAGCAACGCCGCGUGAGUGAUGAAGGUCUUCGGAUCGUAAAACUCUGUUAUUAGGGAAGAACAUAUGUGUAAGUAACUGUGCACAUCUUGACGCUACCUAAUCAGAAAGCCACGGCUAACUACGUG
rnacentral:rRNA from 1 species